rnacentral:rRNA from 1 species
GGUGCUGCGUGGCUGUCGUCAGCUCGUGUCGUGAGAUGUUGGGUUAAGUCCCGCAACGAGCGCAACCCUUAUCUUUAGUUGCCAGCAUGUUUGGGUGGGCACUCUAAAGAGACUGCCGGUGACAAGCCGGAGGAAGGUGGGGAUGACGUCAAGUCCUCAUGGCCCUUAUGUCCUGGGCUACACACGUGCUACAAUGGCGGUGACAGUGGGAAGCUAGAUGGUGACAUCAUGCCGAUCUCUAAAAACCGUCUCAGUUCGGAUUGCACUCUGCAACUCGAGUGCAUGAAGGUGGAAUCGCUAGUAAUCGCGGAUCAGCAUGCCGCGGUGAAUACGUUCCCGGGUCUUGUACACAC